rnacentral:rRNA from 1 species
CCUACGGGGAGCAGCAGUGGGGAAUAUUGGACAAUGGGCGAAAGCCUGAUCCAGCCAUGCCGCGUGUGUGAAGAAGGCCUUCGGGUUGUAAAGCACUUUCAGUGGGGAAGAAAGCCUUGGGGCUAAUACCCUCGAGGAAGGACAUCACCCACAGAAGAAGCACCGGCUAACUCCGUGCCAGCAGCCGCGGUAAUACGGAGGGUGCGAGCGUUAAUCGGAAUUACUGGGCGUAAAGCGCGCGUAGGCGGUCUGAUAAGCCGGUUGUGAAAGCCCCGGGCUCAACCUGGGAACGGCAUCCGGAACUGUCAGGCUAGAGUGCAGGAGAGGAAGGUAGAAGUCCCGGUGUAGCGGUGAAAUGCGUAGAGAUCGGGAGGAAUACCAGUGGCGAAGGCGGCCUUCUGGACUGACACUGACGCUGAGGUGCGAAAGCGUGGGUAGCAAACAGGAUUAGAUACCCGAGUAGUC